UGCCCUUGGUCUAGAUGGAACGAGGAUAUUCUCUUAUGGCAUUAUAGAAUCCUAGAUGAUAUUCCAGUUUACAACAGGGAACUGUCUGGUUAUCUUGUUCCCCUAUUCAUGUCCACAUGGGAAGACGAAAGACCACAUUUGCCAUUUUUAAAGGAUGGAUAUGAACUCAGAAAACUAAUUUUGGGCCAACUACUAACAUUGAAGGACAAUGAAUGUGAAGAUAACAUGCCUGCUGGUGUACUGGACUUCAUCAAUUGUAUUAGGAAAAUCCAAAGUUAAACGGGUAUGUCAAAUAGUAUCAAUUCAUCUCGAAAUGUCAAAUGACUCAAAUAUCUUAUUCCAAUAUGCUAACCUUGUUUUCCUACCAAUAUGCUUGUGUAGGGAGCUCAGUCGGUGGAAGGUAAUUUGUCAGAGAGAUUUCUUGCAGCCAACAGUUAAUAGACAAUGAGCAGGGAGACGAUGAACAUGUAGAGAUGGAUUUUUUUCCUUUGAGAAAUUAAUAGUAGAUUUUGGUUUCUACUUAAGAUAUCCCUUACAUAUAUGUAGAAAACUUUUGGAGCUUGCCAGGAUAUACAUUUUUGGGGGUUGCCAAUUAUAAGAGAUGACGGAUUGCUUCAAAAUUCGAUGUUUGUGGGUUCAGACAUGACAAUACUGUGGAAAUCACAAAUAGUACAGAAUCGUGUACUCUGUUGAUUAAUAAUUA